CCCAGCAGCAGCAGCAGCAGCGACAAGGAGAGGCCAGCAGGAAGCUAAAGCCAUUUGCUGGAUCUGCAAAGAGCUGGGCAGGCCAGAGGGCAGAGUGUGCCCAGAAGGCGAGAAGGAGGAGCAGCUUCAAGCUAGCAAGCCUUGCUUGGGACUAAAGGACCCUUGGAAAAUAAAUUGGAAGGGGCCUUGUCCAGAUGGAGUACACCAGGAGCAGGUGCAAAGCGAAACCUGAAAAAGCCGUUUCCAUGCAUGGACCAGCUGCAAAGUGUGCAACACUGCCUGAGCUGUCCUAGUGUCAAAGAGGGAGGACACCAGCAAAAGGUUCCCGGCCUGCCAUUGACUACACUUGAAACGUCCACGGCAAAAAGACAGGCCCAGGUAUGGAAAGAUGGAAGCCUAGGACAGGAGGAGGCAGGAGUCUGAAAAGGCAGCAGGCCAAGAGGGUUGGCUGCCUGUGUUCAACGCAACAUGUUAAUGACUAUACCCAUGUACAGAUCUUUACCUGUGUAUACUGCACACUUGUA